CCUACGGGCGGCAGCAGUGAGGAAUAUUGGUCAAUGGACGAGAGUCUGAACCAGCCAAGUAGCGUGAAGGAUGACUGCCCUAUGGGUUGUAAACUUCUUUUAUAAAGGAAUAAAACGAGGCACGUGUGCCUUUUUGCAUGUACUUUAUGAAUAAGGAUCGGCUAACUCCGUGCCAGCAGCCGCGGUAAUACGGAGGAUCCGAGCGUUAUCCGGAUUUGUUGGGUUUAAAGGGAGCGUAGAUGGGUUGUUAAGUCAGUUGUGAAAGUUUGCGGCUCAACCGUAAAAUUGCAAUUGAUACUGGCAGUCUUGAGUACAGUUGAGGUAGGCGGAAUUCGUGGUGUAGCGGUGAAAUGCUUAGAUAUCACGAAGAACCCCGAUUGCGAAGGCAGCUUACUAAACUGUGACUGACAUUGAUGCUCGAAAGUGUGGGUAUCAAACAGGAUUAGAUACCCUGGUAGUC
rnacentral:rRNA from 1 species